rnacentral:rRNA from 1 species
CCAGGAGGAAGUGACGGAUCUGAACAGUUGUCUGCCCUUAUCGGAUUGGGUGGGCAGCCUACAGGUCCCUGGAAAUAGCCCUCCAUUAGACCGUACCCUAAACCGACACAGGUGGACUGGUAGAGUAUACCAAGGCGCUUGAGAGAACCACGUUAAAGGAACUCGGCAAAAUGCCUCCGUAAGUUCGCGAGAAGGAGGCCCCAUAUGUACGCAAGUAUGUGUGGGGGGCACAAACUAGGGGGUGGCGACUGUUUACUUAAAACACAGGGCUGUGCGAAGCCGUAAGGCGACGUAUACAGUCUGACGCCUGCCCGGUGCUGGAAGAUUAAGAGGAGGGGUGCAAGCUCUGAAUUGAAGUCCCAGUAAACGGCGGCCGUAACUAUAACGGUCCUAAGGUAGCGAAAUUCCUUGUCGGGUAAGUUCCGACCUGCACGAAUGGCGUAACGAUCUCCCCGCUGUCUCUAACGUGGACUCAGCGAAAUUGAACUGUCUGUCAAGAUGCAGACUACCCGCGGUUAGACGGAAAGACCCCAUGAACCUUUACUCCAGCUUUGCACUGGUAUCAGGAUUGUGAUGUGCAGGAUAGGUGGUAGGCAUUGAAGCGGGGACGCCAGUCUUCGUGGAGCCUCCCUUGAGAUACCACCCUUCGCCAUCUUGAUAUCUAACCGCGGCCCGUUAUCCGGGUCCGGGACCCUGCAUGGUGGGGAGUUUGACUGGGGCGGUCGCCUCCCAAAUUGUAACGGAGGCGCGCGAUGGUUGGCUCAGACCGGUCGGAAAUCGGUCGUUGAGUGCAAUGGCAGAAGCCAGCCUGACUGCAAGACUGACAAGUCGAGCAGAGACGAAAGUCGGUCAUAGUGAUCCGGUGGUCCCAAGUGGGAGGGCCAUCGCUCAACGGAUAAAAGGUACUCUGGGGAUAACAGGCUGAUGAUGCCCAAGAGUCCAUAUCGACGGCAUCGUUUGGCACCUCGAUGUCGGCUCAUCUCAUCCUGGGGCUGGAGCAGGUCCCAAGGGUAUGGCUGUUCGCCAUUUAAAGAGGUACGUGAGCUGGGUU